CCGUACCUACGGGAGGCAGCAGUGGGGAAUCUUGCGCAAUGGGCGAAAGCCUGACGCAGCAACGCCGCGUGCGGGAUGAAGGCCUUCGGGUUGUAAACCGCUUUCAGCAGGGAAGAAAUUGACGGUACCUGCAGAAGAAGCCCCGGCCAACUACGUGCCAGCAGCCGCGGUAACACGUAGGGGGCGAGCGUUGUCCGGAUUUAUUGGGCGUAAAGAGCUCGUAGGCGGUUCGCUAAGUCGGGUGUGAAACCUCCAGGCUCAACCUGGAGACGCCACCUGAUACUGGUGUGACUAGAGUCCGGUAGGGGAGUGUGGAACUCCUGGUGUAGCGGUGAAAUGCGCAGAUAUCAGGAAGAACACCAGCGGCGAAGGCGGCACUCUGGGCCGGUACUGACGCUGAGGAGCGAAAGCGUGGGUAGCAAACAGGAUUAGAUACCCUGGUAGUCCACGCCGUAAACGUUGGGCACUAGGUGUGGGUCUCAACCAACGAGAUCCGUGCCGCAGCUAACGCAUUAACGUGCCCCGCCUCGGGGUAGUACGACCGGUCGACGCGGCCG
rnacentral:rRNA from 1 species